rnacentral:rRNA from 1 species
GAUGAACGCUAGCGGCAGGCUUAACACAUGCAAGUCGAGGGGCAGCACAGGUAGCAAUACUGGGUGGCGACCGGCAAACGGGUGCGGAACACGUACGCAACUUACCCUAAACAGAUGAAUAGCCCUCGGAAACGGGGAUUAAUACAUCGUAAACUAUAAGAGUGGCAUCAUUUUUAUAGAAUAGCUGAGGCGGUUUAGGAUGGGCGUGCGUCCGAUUAGCUAGUUGGUAAGGUAACGGCUUACCAAGGCGACGAUGGGUAACUGAAGUGAGCGCACGACAAGUAGAACGGGCACUGAGACACGGGCCCGACUACUACGGGAGGCAGCAGUGAGGAAUAUUGGUCAAUGGACGGAAGUCUGAAGCAGCCGUGCCGCGUGAAGGAUGAAGGCGUUCUGCGUUGUAAACUUCUUUUAUCAGGGAAGAAACCUCAGUAUUCUUAUUGAGCCGACGGUACCUGACGAAUAAGCACCGGCUAACUCCGUGCCAGCCGCCGCAGUAAAAC